ensembl:lncRNA
CUCUAGUCUUCAUAUCUCUCUCUCUCUCUCUCUCUCUUUCUCUCUCUCUCUCUCUCACACACACAUACACAUGUAUAAUACUUAUAAAAAUGUACUCUUAUCGCAAAACAGGAUCGAGAUAAUUUAAUAGUUUAAUAGUUAAUUGAUACAAUCACACAAUUUGACAUGGUAAAACUGAUAGUGUCGAUACGUUUAGUAGAAAUUCAGAAAUACAGUAUUCCCACCUCCCAUUCUAGAACUUAUGAUGAUGUGAUUGGUCGCUGGAACGACUACCUAGCCGUAUGAUUGGCUUUUUGGGGUGGGACGUAAACGCCAAACAGUCGGCAGAGCCCGGUGUCAUUUAUAAGCGCGGACAUAUCUGUACGGACCAGAAGAGACCUGGAAUAACCUACUUAUAGAAAGGCAAGACUACGGAUUCAGUUACUUGAAAAGAAAGAAACUAUUAAGUGAACAUCUCACCUUUUUGCUUGUUCAUCUUUUUUCCGACAAACAGCAGCGGACACUUCAUCACUUCUACGACAUAUUUCAAAGAAUUAAAAGAAGACAAACGGAUUUACAGAGAUCUGUCGACACAUCAUGCCAUGGACUGUACCAGUGAGUGUUGACCCAUUGAGCUCGCAGUCACAGCUGCCUGUGGAUAUGGAGUUGGCACAUACCCCCCAGAGACUCCAUCAUGCACACUCGCUGCACACACACUCACAAUCCUCACCGCCUGCUGCACACACACACAGACUACCAGCCAAGCUGGGUGCUCUGUCCACGCACCCAUCCAACCAGACAUGGCUCACCUUCUUCCCUGCUUCCUCUACCGUCGUGAAUCCACAUACUCAUCGUCCUCCUCCUCCAUGGGCAGCUGGAGCAAGAAUCGGAGCCCCCGGCAGAAGAGGGUGGUGUUCGCUGACUCUGUGGGUCUGCCUCUUACGGAAGUGAGGGUGUUUGUUUCUGACCCGCACGGCGUGGGGCCCCCGCGUUACCCUGAGGCGCUGAAGAGGGGUCAGAGGUCAUUGGGCGUCUGCGCGGGGAGGCAUCACUCGCACCGGUCAACUCCAGCAUUGCCACAUCCCUGCAUAGACUUCCCAGCAUUCCAAGCAAGACCUCAGGACAGGAUGCCACUCCAGGCACAUAACGACACCCUGCGCCGAGGCAACAUCAACCCUCAGAGGGCUUCAACACACACAUUUCCUAAAGCACACACACUAUCUAAAGCACAAAUACAGCCCCUCACACACACAUUACCUAAAGCACACACACAAGCUAAAAUACACACACAUGCCACAGCACAAACACAGACCACAGAACACACACAGGCUGCAACACACACACUACCUAAAGCACUCACACACGCCACAGCACAGACCCAGACCGUCUCCCUGCAUCCUCCCGGCUGUGGGCACUCGGUAAUGGUGUCUCAGCAGCAGCCUGUGUUCUGGCCCCGCAGCAGGUCUCUCGUGCCACAGCCAGACUACCCUCCACGCGUCCACAGCUGGACGUGGCAGGAGGGCAUGGCUGUGUACUGAGAGCGCCCGGAUGCCCGCGGACAGACCUCUUCUUCAUUAGUGCCAGCUGGACCCGGACCAGAUCAGAUGUCGUCUCAGAUUGUCUCCUGACAAUCACAUGGAUCCAGUAUUUGCACUGACGGUCUAUCUGGGGUCGUGGGGCUGAUCUUGUGUUCAGACAAAUACCUGUAUCACUGUGGGUGUAUGGUUGACCUAAAACCACUGUAGGGGGGCAGAGACUGCUCCUCCACCCAGACUGGUCCUGUAGAGGAAUCCCUCCUCUGAAACCAAGGGGACCCUCACUCUGAACUGUUCUGAGGAGGUUCCCCCUCAUUGUAAACCCUUCCUGUAGAGGAGGCCCUCUUCUGAAGCUAGGGAAGAACGUUACUGUGAACUGUUCGAUGUUGAUGUUCCCCCUGCUCAGAUCUGGGCAGCUUAAAUGGAUGACUACAGGACUCAGAGGACUCAUGCCACCUAAACACAAUGCAGAUACGAUAUUGUGAGAUAUUGUGAGAUAUUGUGCGAAGAAAAUCUGACAACUAUUAUUAUAGAUACCGCUCACACUGGGUGUUAGUGAUGUGUGUGUGUGUGUGUGUGUGUGAGAGAGAGAGACGGAGAGAGAGAGAAUAUUUUUGUAGGCUGCACUAUCCAGACCAACAGUGUUAGUAUGUGUGUGUGUGUGUGUGUGUGUUGCAGCUCUGGCUGUGUCUGUGUUGCUGUAUGUGUAUUAGAUUGUGUAUUUGUGAAGACACACUGUGUAGUAGUGGGAUCAACACAUCUAUCAGAAACUGUAGAUGAUGUCAACUCUAAUGGGAGUCGAGCAGUAUAUGAAUGUCUGUAGAUGUGAUUAAUGCAGUGUUCGCUUGAAUGUAUUUUGCACUUUUUUUAUUUAUAUUAUUUAUAUUUUUCUUUUUUUUCAUUUGUGUUGUAUUUACAACUCCUUAAUUCUUUAUGAGCAACUACGUUGUUUCAACUGAACAGAGAGUCAUUUGUUCAACUUAAUGUGAAAUAUUUGAAUAAACACUCAGUUUUCACACACUCACACAAGGCAGUUCAGGCAAUUCAGUUUUCAGCUACACUGAAGUUGAGCAGGACUCGCUGAGAGGUCCAAAUUGGCCCGGAUCAGUCAGCUCCUGGCCCGGUCCUACCCUAAUGUGGCCCUGGUCCUGGUUGACGCAUUCCGGAGUCAGGCAGGGUGUGUGCCAGAGUGAGAGUGUUUUGUUCCUCAUGGCACACUGUGUUCCCAGAGCGAAUGAAGGAACAGGCCUGGCGUGCUCUGACAGGUCAGUCACUGAGUGCCAAACAGCACAAUCACCAUGGCAACACCUUGCAACCACCUCAAAGCACACAGCCCAGGCCAUGCCCUCACACAUGCCAAAUCCCUUCGUGGGCUCAUUGUUAUCUUAGCCAUAAGAUAAGAUCUUCACUUAAAGAAGUACACAACAGAUGAGUUUUAACACAUUUCAAAUAAUAAAAAAAUGAAAUACUGUAUCUUGACCUGAUUCUGUCUUUUGAAUCAUUCGUUUUAUAGAUAGAUAGAUAGAUGGAUACUUUAUUAAUCCCGAGGGAAAUUUAGGUCAUUAUCACAGGGUAACACCAGUGUUAUGUCUAGGAUUAAAGCAACAGUGAAGAGUUUGGGUCUAAAACUAGAAAACCAACUCCCUAAUAAAGGAAUGACAAAACCCUGCAGACUCCCAACAACAACACAGUUGGCAAUGAGAAAAGCUUGUUGUCAUGCUAAUAGUAUAAGCUUGUGGUGCUAACUGAUGUUUUUUGGCAAUAUAGAAGCCGAUGCUGUGCCCGAAAAGCUUUUCUUGCAUUUUCGCGGGGCGCUCCAUCCCGCAUCACAGAUCUGCAUAAUGCAUAACCUGGGCGACUAGUGGGAACGACAGAUGUGUCUGCUGCAA